AUGGUCAAAUGGGCCUUCUUGAGCUUCAUAUUUACCUGGGAUAAGAGAUUGCUGGAAGAUGGUUGCAGAAAAUCAGAUGGGCUCAAGAAUCAUCAGAGAUUCAAGCACAAGGUAGAAAGUGUAAGUCUGGGAAGAAACAGUAACCUUUUGAUUUGGGGGUCUCUGGCAUAUUGAGGUAAGAAGUUCCAUUUCCUUGGAAUUUCAGAAGGAGAGUCAUGUACAGUAGCCUCAAGAACUGAUGAAGAGUGAGAUGAUCAUGACUAUAAGGAGGGUUUUCUAUUUUAUUUAGUCAUUAUUAGACAGACAUCGAAAAGAUAUCAGAGUUGGCUUCAUUUGGCUUCUUUUAGACUCUUUAACACAUACUUAAAUCCUAAUAUCUCUUCCAUUAAUCUUGUUCCACUUCAACACAUAGCUUAUCUUAGUGAUGGUUAUUGGUUUGAAGUACAAGUUGCCUGCAUCGGAGUUGAGUGAUCUUAGGCUAGAGGUUUGUACAUUGAGCCAGGUGAAGCCAUAGAAGUUCUGAUGGGUCUUAGCAACUGUUCAGGAAAGGGGAACCACUUGGGCUGGGGAGGAUUGGCUCAGAGAUCUCCAUGAACAUGUCAGCCAGAGCCCUCUGGUUGAUUCUUUUGAAUAUUUUAAAUUUAGGGGAUUAUUUCAACUGAUGAAAGAUAUCUGGAACCAGGGCUGUUGUGGAAUAAUUUGUCAAUUUUAGACCUUAUCAAUUCAAUCAUGCCAUGUGACUAAUAUCUAAUUUUUUAUUUUAAUUGAUAAAACUGAUUACUUUCUUUGGAAAUACUUAGGAAAUGUGUGUAGACACAAUGUGUGGUUGCAGUCCGUACAGAUGACUUGAAUAAGCUGAGUGAAAGGCUGGUGGUAGCAUUUUAACUUGGUUUGUCUUUUACUGAGGAUGGAAUAACAGAAAGGCGAGACAGAGGUACAGGUAUAUCCUCUCUUCAGGCUUAUGUGGUAGCAUGAUCCCAUAGCAGUUUACAUUGAGAAUUUAUCCAGACUUUUUUUUUUCUUUCCUGAGUCCUGAAUAAGGUUGGCUCAAGGCCUAGAAACUCGGCAAUUUUUCAUGUUCUGGCAACCUAGGAAGAGAAGGUAUUUUGCAACUUAGCUCAGUUGUUUCUUAAUGUUUGGAGAGAAAUAUGUCUCUUGUAGCUUCUUUUUUUUUUUUUUAAUUUUGAGCUGAAAAGAAACACUUUCUCAAUGUACAGAAAUGCCUAUUUCAUAUUUAUACUAGAUUUGCAU
rnacentral:lncRNA from 1 species